GGAAGGUGCAAGCGUUAAUCGGAAUUACUGGGGCGUAAAGCGCGCGUAGGCGGCUAGAUAAGUCGGGUGUGAAAGCCCUGGGGCUCAACCUGGGGAACUGCAUUCGAUACUGUCUAGCUAGAGUGUGGUAGAGGGAGGCGGAAUUCCGCAUGUAGCGGUGAAAUGCGUAGAGAUGCGGAGGAACACCAAUGGCGAAGGCAGCCUCCUGGACCAACACUGACGCUGAGGCGCGAAAGCGUGGGGAGCAAACAGGAUUAGAUACCCUGGUAGUCCACGCCGUAAACGAUGUCAACUAGCCGUUGGGAGCAUUUUGGCUCUUGGUGGCGUAGCUAACGCGAUAAGUUGACCGCCUGGGGAGUACGGUCGCAAAGAUUAA
rnacentral:rRNA from 1 species